rnacentral:rRNA from 1 species
GAUGAACGCUAGCGGCAGGCUUAAUACAUGCAAGUCGAACGGUAAGGUCUCUUCGGAGAUACACGAGUGGCGCACGGGUGCGUAACGCGUAUGCAACCUACCCUUAACUGGGAAAUAGCCCCGAGAAAUCGGGAUUAAUGUCCCAUAUUAUUCUCCGGAUGCAUAUCUGGGGGAUGAAAGCUCCGGCGGUUAAAGAUGGGCAUGCGUGACAUUAGCUAGUUGGUGAGGUAACGGCUCACCAAGGCAACGAUGUCUAGGGGUCCUGAGAGGGUUAACCCCCACACUGGUACUGAGACACGGACCAGACUCCUACGGGUGGCUG